rnacentral:rRNA from 1 species
CCUACGGGAGGCUGCAGUGGGGGAUAUUGCACAAUGGGGGAAACCCUGAUGCAGCGACGCCGCGUGGGUGAAGAAGCGCCUCGGCGCGUAAAGCCCUGUCAGCAGGGAAGAAAAUGACGGUACCUGAAGAAGAAGCCCCGGCUAACUACGUGCCAGCAGCCGCGGUAAUACGUAGGGGGCAAGCGUUAUCCGGAUUUACUGGGCGUAAAGGGGGUGCAGACGGCGUUGCAAGCCAGGAGUGAAAGCCCGGGGCCCAACCCCGGGACUGCUCUUGGAACUGCGUGGCUAGAGUGCAGGAGGGGCAGGCGGAAUUCCUGGUGUAGCGGUGAAAUGCGUAGAUAUCAGAAGGAACACCGAUGGCGAAGGCGGCCUGCUGGACUGCAACUGACGUUGAGGCCCGAAAGCGUGGGGAGCAAACAGGAUUAGAUACCCCAGUAGUC